rnacentral:misc_RNA from 1 species
GCAAACUUGGUCAUUUAGAGGAAGUAAAAGUCGUAACAAGGUUUCCGUAGGUGAACCUGCGGAAGGAUCAUUACAGAGUACCGGUACCGUUUGGGUGCCUGCUCCCACCAUUUGUUAACCUUGAAUCGUUGCCUCGGCAGAACGGUGGUACCUGCCACCCCCUGGCUUCGCAGCUGGGGAGUUUCCGUCAGAGGACCCUUCAAACUAUAUUUUAACCACCUUCUGAGAAAAAAACAAAUUGAAAACAAAACUUUCAACAACGGAUCUCUUGGUUCUGGCAUCGAUGAAGAACGCAGC